GGAUCCUUAAGAGGCUUUUCUUUCAGGUUUACUCUCUUCACUGGCAUGGUUAGUGUAAAGCAUAAUAGGUGUCAUAACUCACCCUCUGGACUCAGAAGCUUUAGAGGAAGAGGAAGAAGCAAGUUGCCAAGAAUCUGCAGCUCCUAGUGACAGUGGUUUCUCGGGGAAGACUGAAUUGGAGGGAGCCAAGCUAGAAGUGGACCCUAAUCCUAGAUAGAAUGGUGAAGACAUUGAAGACCCAUCUUGAGACACCUGCCUAUCGAUCUCCCAGCCACUCCCUCACAACGUUGUUGCUCUAAACCCUCCUUUUUGUGAAGGAAAUGUGAAGAAAGAAGAUUGUUCUGGUCCAUUGUCAUUCACUGAUGCAGUACCAGAUCUUGGAAAGUUAAACUCCUGGAAUCCUCAGCUAGGUGGUGCUUCUGCUGUGAAACUGGUUGUACCUUGCAUGGACUGCUCACAGUGCUUUAAAAGUAGCUACUGUUAGGAUGACUAUUUCUCCCACUGCCAAGAAUCUGAGGAGUACCUCUGAGAAUCUAUACAAAAGUUUGGAUCCAUUUCUUUGAACCACGCCAGCUCGUCCUGAUAAGUGUAUAUCAGUGAAGUGAUUCCAUCUCCCACUCCCAAUGAAUCACUUAAAUAAAACUUGGAGCAAUUAAAUCCUGUAAUCCUUCUUUAAUUAAUUUGGGGGGGGGGGCGGAAAACCCCGCCUUCUUCUCUAUUUCUUUUACCAUGUGUGAACUUGUUUUCUCCUUCUCUGACCCCUGCCUUUUAACUUUUUCCACAAAAUUGUGACUUGUAUGAUACAUUCUAUUCAGGGAAUCUGAUCAUAUCUCC
rnacentral:lncRNA from 11 species